CGGUUAUGAAAGAACCUUAUCCCCUGGCGUAGGCAAACCCUACUCAUCGAAAUACCUUAGCAGCUGUGACCGUAACCGAUCAAACUCGCAAAAUCUACAACAUUCUACGUUAUUACUUCCACUCUGCAUAUAAGUAUACAGGAUUUUUCAGAUUCUUUGACCCAAACUUGGAAAUUUCUCUUUCCGAAUUCUUCUCGCAAAAAUACCAUCCGCGUGUCC